GACGAACGCUGGCGGCGUGCUUAACACAUGCAAGUCGAACGGAAAGGCCCUGCUUGCAGGGUACUCGAGUGGCGAACGGGUGAGUAACAUGUGGGUGAUCUGCCCUGCACUUCGGGAUAAGCCUGGGAAACUGGGUCUAAUACCGGAUAGGAGCCAUUUUUAGUGUGAUGGUUGGAAAGUUUUUUCGGUGUAGGAUGAGCUCGCGGCCUAUCAGCUUGUUGGUGGGGUAAUGGCCUACCAAGGCGGCGACGGGUAGCCGGCCUGAGAGGGUGGACGGCCACAUUGGGACUGAGAUACGGCCCAGACUCCUACGGGAGGCAGCAGUGGGGAAUAUUGCACAAUGGGCGCAAGCCUGAUGCAGCGACGCCGCGUGGGGGAUGAUGGCCUUCGGGUUGUAAACUCCUUUCGCUAGGGACGAAGCUUUUUGUGACGGUACCUAGAUAAGAAGCACCGGCUAACUACGUG
rnacentral:rRNA from 1 species